UCCGGUUGAUCCUGCCAGAGGCUACUGCUAUCGGGGUUCGAUUAAGCCAUGCGAGUUAAAUGUUCUUCGUGAACAUAGCGAACUGCUCAGUAACACGUGGAUAACCUACCCUUAGGACCGGAAUAACCCCGGGAAACUGGGGAUAAUACCGGAUAAGCCAUAGACGCUGGAAUGCCCUAUGGUUCAAAGCUCCGGCGCCUAAGGAUGGAUCUGCGGUCUAUCAGGUUGUAGUGGGUGUAACGUACCUACUAGCCGACGACGGAUACGGGUUGUGAGAGCAAGAGCCCGGAGAUGGAUUCUGAGACACGAAUCCAGGCCCCACGGGGUGCAGCAGGCGCGAACACUUUACAAUGCGGGAAACCGCGAUAAGGGAACCCCGAGUGCCAGCAUCAAAUGUUGGCUGUCCAGAUGAUUAAAAAUCAUUUGUUAGCAAGGGCCGGGCAAGACCGGUGCCAGCCGCCGCGGUAACACCGGCGGCCCGAGUGGUAGCCGUUUUUAUUGGGUCUAAAGGGUCCGUAGCCGGCUUGAUAAGUCCUUUGGGAAAUCUGGCAGCUUAACUGUCAGGCUUCUAAGGGAUACUGUCAGGCUUGGGACCGGAAGAGGUAAGGGGUACUCCAGGGGUAGGAGUGAAAUCUUGUAAUCCCUGGGGGACCAUCUGUGGCGAAGGCGCCUUACCAGAACGGGUCCGACGGUGAGGAA
rnacentral:rRNA from 1 species